AAAUAUUUUUCCAAAUUUCUUAAAUAUACAAGUGAUGAAAUUGAGAAAAAGUAAACUCGUAAUUUUUCCACCAAAAAACAUAAACCCGUGAUUUUUCCGCCAAAAACGUAAAUUCGUAAUUUUCCCGCCAAAAACCAAAACCUGUGAUUUUCCCGCCAAAAACGUAAACCCGUGAUUUUCCUGCCAAAAACGUAAACUCGUAAUUUUCCCGCCAAAAACCAAAACCUGUGAUUUUCCCGCCAAAAACCAAAACCUGUGAUUUUCCCGCCAAAAACAUAAACCUGUGAUUUUCCUGCCAAAAACGUAAACUCGUAAUUUUCCCGCCAAAAACCAAAACCUGUGAUUUUCCCACCAAAAACGUAAACCCAUGAUUUUCCCGCCAAAAACGUAAACCCGUAAUUUUUCCGCCAAAAACGUUAACCCGUGAUUUUCCUGCAGAAACGUAUACCCGUAAUUUUCCCGCCAAAAACUUAAACCUAUAAACCUGUGAUUUUCCCGCCAAAAACGUAAACCCGUGAUUUUCCCGCCAAAAACGUAAACCGUAAUUUUCCCGCCAAAAACGUAAACCCGUGAUUUUCCCGCCAAAAACGUAAACCCAUAAUUUUUCCGUCAAAAAAAUGUAAACCCGUGAUUUUCCCGCAGAAACGUAUACCCAUAAUUUUCCCGCCAAAAAACGUAAACCUAUGAUUUUCCCGCCAAAAACGUAAACCUGUAAACCUGUGAUUUUCUCGCCAAAAACGUAAACCUGUGAUUUUCCCGCCAAAAACGUAAAUCCGUAAUUUUCUCGCCGAAAACGUAAAUCCAUAAAAAGUGGAAUCCGUAAAUAUUCUAAGUUUGAUGAUAAUAAAAUAAUAAUUAUUAAUAAUGAUAAUUAUUUAUUAUUGUUUCAU
rnacentral:sRNA from 1 species